GGCCGCGUCGACGGCUCAGAUUGAACGCUGGCGGCAGGCUUAACACAUGCAAGUCGAACGAUGACUCUCUAGCUUGCUAGAGAUGAUUAGUGGCGGACGGGUGAGUAACAUUUAGGAAUCUACCUAGUAGUGGGGAUAGCUCGGGGAAACGUCGAAUUAAUACCGCAUACGGCCUACGGGUGAAAGGGGCGGCAAGCUCUUGCUAUUAGAUGAGCCUAAAUACAGAUUAGCUAGUUGGUGGGGUAAAGGACCCACCAAGGCGACGAUCUGUAACUGGUCUGAGAGGAUGAUCAGUCACACCGGAACUGAGACACGGUCCGGGUCGACGCGUGAGCGAAGAAGUAUUUCGGUAUGUAAAGCUCUAUCAGCUGGGAAGAAAAUGACGGUACCUGACUAAGAAGCCCCGGCUAACUACGUG
rnacentral:rRNA from 1 species